rnacentral:rRNA from 1 species
AUGCUUCAAGGAGAAAAGCAAGGAAAGAGGUUGAUGGCUGCAGAGAAACCCAUCAUCAAGGCACAUCACCUUGGCAAUGACAACAUCGAGUACUACACAUGUCCUAUUACGAGCAUGAUGUCCAUGAUGAAGAACAAGGUCACGCAAUACCGCAGGUUCGAGAAGCGCGUGAUCAAGGGGAGGUCAACGUGUGGUGAUGUGAAGACACUACAGGGCAACUAUAGCUGGAUCCCGGAGGGUUGGGCGAUGGAGAUAAGGGCUGAAGGGGAGGGGGUGAACAAAAAAAUAUUCAAGUUCUUCGUCCAUAAGUCCUCCGGGGUGCGAUUUACAAACAAAGAUGAUUUAGAGGCCUUUGAAAAAAUAGUACGAGUGCCAAAGGUGCCACUGCCAUCCAAAGAAGAUGGGUCUAAACAAGAUGUGUCUAAAAAAGACGUGCUGCUCUUUGAAGAACCAAUAAAAAAGAGGAAGACCCCCAGAGCCUGCAAAGACCCAGACGCAGUAGAGUGCGAUACGAGCUCUCAGGAUAACAUGAUUGCACAGCUUGACUUCUAUACUGAGCGUUUAUCCGCUGGAUGGGUGAAGGAAACCUACUUCAGACCAGGCAAGAAAAAUAAGAAAGACACGUAUUUUACCGCCCCUUCUAGUUCUGAGUAUCUCGUGUUCCGUACGAAGAAGGAUGCAACGAAAUACUUCUGGACUGGAGAACGUCCUAAAGAUUCUUGGAAACCGACAAAGAGUGUCACCAAGAAGUACAAAGACUUGAUUGUUACAGAUGCAGAUGAAAAAGACCUAGAUGGUCAACAUGAGCCCAAGGAAAAGAAGCCUAAGACUACAAGCACCGAAGCCGACGAGGCAAUGACCUGCUCACAUGCUAGGCUGCUAGGAAUCUGCUAG